UACGUAGGGGGCUAGCGUUGUCCGGAAUCAUUGGGCGUAAAGAGCGUGUAGGCGGCUUGGUAAGUCCGCUGUGAAAGUCCAGGGCUUAACCCUGGAAAGCCAGUGGAAACUGUCAAGCUAGAGUCCGGAAGAGGUGAGUGGAACUCCUGGUGUAGCGGUGAAAUGCGCAGAUAUCAGGAAGAACACCCGUGGCUAAGGCGGCUCUCUAGUACGGUACUGACGCUGAGACGCGAAAGCGUGGGGAGCGAACAGG
rnacentral:rRNA from 1 species